GGGACAACCUCGGAUCAGGUAGGGAUACCCGCUGAACUUAAGCAUAUCAAUAAGCGGA
rnacentral:rRNA from 1 species